UACGUAGGGGGCAAGCGUUGUCCGGAAUCAUUGGGCGUAAAGCGCGUGUAGGCGGCUGACUAAGUCCGCUCUGAAAGCCCGGGGCUCAACCCCGGGAGGCGGGUGGAUACUGGUCAGCUCGAGUCCGGAAGAGGAGUGUGGAAUUCCUGGUGUAGCGGUGAAAUGCGCAGAUAUCAGGAGGAACACCAAUGGCGAAGGCAGCACUCUGGGACGGUACUGACGCUGAGACGCGAGAGCGUGGGGAGCAAACAGG
rnacentral:rRNA from 1 species